UAAAUUAACCGUUAGAAGAAAGAAUUUCUUGUGGCGGUUAUACGCAUUUGUGCUUCCGUUCUGAAGUUAACACCGCUCAGCGUGCUUGAGCUGAAAUAUGAUGGAGAUGGUGCAGGUGAGACCUCGACCGAGGGUGACGCUAUGGCCUUCGUCUUUUCCCUUCUCCGCGAGCCUGAAGAUCAGAGCAGAUGCAACCACCGCUACGACAAAGGCAAGCAAGACGCGGAGCAUCCAAGCGACCUUGUCUCCUUCAGUGUCAUUCCGUCGAACAGCUGAUGAGCAAUCUUCCUCGACGGACGGACCCAGCAGUAUUGGUGAUGGGACGAGAGGAGUGAGGAAGAAAAAGAUGAAGGCGAGCAAGAAGAGGGUCUUCUUCUUGGACGUGAACCCUUUGUGCUACGAGGGAAGCACUCCCAGCUUGCACUCCUUUGCUCGCUGGAUCUCUCUCUUCUUCUCUCAAGUCAGCCACAGCGACCCUGUUGUUGCUGUUCUUGAUGGGGAAAGGGGCAGUGAGCAUCGACGACGGUUGUUGCCUUCGUACAAAGCGCAAAGGAGGAAAUUCUCAAGGCACGUAUCACCUUUGCUGAGAUCUUCAUGGAGCUCAGUGGAAAGAUCUCAUCAAGUCGUCAUAAAUUUUCUCAAGGAAUGCAAUGUGCCGGUCAUUAAGGUUGAAGACCACGAGGCAGAUGAUGUCAUAGCUACUCUCAUGGAGCAAGCUCUUCAAAAAGGAUUUCGAGUAGUCAUUGCCUCUCCCGAUAAAGAUUUUAAGCAGCUGAUUUCUGAAGAUGUCCAAAUUGUUAUGCCUGUGGAUGAGUUACAUCGCUGGUCCUUUUACACUCUGAAACACUAUAUCGAGCAGUAUAACUGUGAUCCAGAUUCCGAUCUGAGCCUUAGAUGCAUCCUGGGUGAUGAUGUUGAUGGUGUUCCUGGAAUCCAACACUUAGUUCCGGCAUUUGGUCGGAAAACUGCCCUCAAGCUGCUAAAGAAACAUGGAUCAUUGGAUAAUUUACUAAACGCGGCAGCAGUUAGAACUGUGGGGAAACAAUAUGCACAAGAAGCCCUUACAAAGUAUGCAAAUUAUCUGCGAAGAAAUUAUAAAGUUCUAGCAUUGAGGAGGGAUGUCAAUGUUUUUCUUCGAGAGGAGUGGUUAGUUGAAAGAAAUUCAGCUGGUGAUUCAAGAAAUUUAUCUACCUUCCUCACAUUGCUGGGAGAGGCGAAGCUCUAUCGUCACAAUAGACAUCAUCCUCCAAAGAAUUUAACCUCAGAAGAUGUUGGCCCGUGUUCUUAGAACCAGAAAGGGAAAAGAUUGGAGACUUGUCUGGUGCUUCGGUUAGCAAUAUAACCCAUAAGUCCUUCAAUUUCAAGAUAGAGGAUGUUGAGGCUUGGUGUUGCGGAACAUCUUGUUGGCAACUUGGCAUAAUGGAAGACGGUAUGUUCAAGGGAGAGAUUGAAGUAGAAGAUGAAUUUGGUGGAGCAAUCUGGUUCUGAAGUACACUGCAGUCAAACUCCACUUCUCCAACCAAAAGAGGUGUAAAGGGGUUUUUUUUUUUUUUUUUAUUUUGUUCCUGCCCUCGCCUUCCUCAUGAGGCUAGCGUAUCUUUCCGUGGAGGAGCAACUAGUUUUUUGACAGAUUAGAGUCAUGUAGUGCAGUUCAUAUCAUCUGGUUCAAGUGACUUCCCUUGUGGUCCAGUUACCCAUUGAUUUUGUGCUGUCGGAUGGUGCACAUAUUACCAAGGAACAGGAAGGUGAGCUCGAUAAGUAUAUUGUAAAAGCUUCUGACGGUAGUUAGAUAUAGAUGGAAAGUAUCCCUUCUUUCCUACAAACUUGUUUUCGGUGGCAGUCUUUCCGGCCAUAAGAAGAAAUCUAUAGCCACGU